rnacentral:rRNA from 1 species
UUCGAUUCCCGUAGCCUAGGAGAUACACCUGUACCCAUGCCGAACACAGAAGUUAAGCCCUAGAACGCCGGAAGUAGUUGGGGGUUGCCCCCUGUGAGAUAGGGGCCUGAC